UCGAAGUUUUUCCAGAUCAUUCUUUUUCACGACUUGAUUUGAGAUAUUUGUAUUUUGAGGACAAAAGCAACAAGAGGUGUGACCAUUUUUCUGUUUUUUCCGGUAAGUUCUCGUAAUUUCUAAUGCUGUGCGUUCUGCUAUACCUUAGUGGAUUUGAUGACAUCCUUAUAAAAAAAAAAAAAAAAAAAAAAAGAGCAUACGUUCUUCUCUUUCGACAGUUGGAACAAUAAUUUUUUUUCCGGUUGUCGUUGCAUUAUUAGAAGAUGGAGUGCGUAAGAACACUGAACUAGACAGACAUCAUCGAUUGCGAGCUGAACCUAGACAAAGUAAAAUGUAUACUGGUGGGUGGACAAUGUACAUCAGUGGGCCAACCACCUUCAAUUUUCUUUCCCUUUCAUCAAUUUCUGGCAUUUAUUUAUUUUUAUAUAUAUAUUUAUUUAUAUUUUUUGUUAGGGAACUUCUAUGUCUGUUUUCAA
rnacentral:lncRNA from 1 species